AGAGGCUGCCGUUGGCCCUUUGCUUUGGGCUGUGACGGAAAGCCGUAAAAAGGCGGGUGGGAUAUUAGCGGCCCGGGACAUUUUGCCGCCUGAGGCGAACCACAAAAUGGCGCCCCCUCUCCCUCCCCCCGGCAGGGGAGAAGCGGAGUGAUGUGCCAUAGCAGGAACAAGGAAUAAAGAUACUGUAUACAUCUUGUCUCUAUGUGGGACAAGAAGCUACAGUUAGAACUGGAUAUGGAACAACUGAUUGGUUCAAAAUUGGGAAAGGAGUAGGACAAGGCUGUAUAUUGUCUCCCUGCUUAUUUAACUUAUAUGCAGAAUUCAUCAUGCGAAAGGCUGGGCUGGAUGAAUCCCAUGCCGGAAUUAAGAUUGCCGGAAGAAAUAUCAACAACCUCAGAUAUGCAGAUGACACAACCUUGAUGGCAGAAAGUGAGGAGGAAUUAAAGAAUAUUUUAAUGAGGGUGAAAGAGGAGAGCGCAAAAUAUGGUCUGAAGCUCAACAUCAAAAAAACAAAGAUCAUGGCCACUGGUCCCAUCACCUCCUGGCAAAUAGAAGGGGAAGAAAUGGAGGCAGUGAGAGAUUUUACUUUCUUGGGCUCCAUGAUCACUGCAGAUGGUGACAGCAGCCACAAAAUUAAAAGACACCUGCUUCUUGGAAGGAAAGCAAUGACAAACCUAGACAGCAUCUUAAAAAGCAGAGACAUCACCUUGCCAACAAAGGUCCCUAUAGUUAAAGCCAUGGUUUUCCCAGGAGUGAUGUAUGGAAGUGAGAGCUGGACCAUAAAGGCUGAUUGCCGAAGAAUUGAUGCUUUUGAAUUAUGGUGCUGGAGGAGACUCUUGAGAGUCCCAUGGGCUGCAAGAAGAUCAAACCUCUCCAUUCUUAAGGAAAUCAGCCCUGAAUUCUCACUGGAAGGACAAAUCCUGAAGCUGAGGCUCUAAUACUUUGGCCACCUCAUGAGAAGAGAAGACUCCCUGGAAAAGACCCUGAUGUUGGCAAAGAGAAGGGGACGACAGAGGACGAGGUGGUUGGACAGUGUUCUUGAAGCUACCAGCAUGAGUUUGACCAAACUGCGGGAGGCAGUGGAAGACAGGAGUGCCUGACGUGCUCUGGUCCAGGGGGUCACGAAGAGUCGGACCAAACAACAAUACAUCAGGAACAAGAUCUACAUUGGGAUCGGCUGCUCCUGUGGAUUCUGCAGCCCGACGCAGUUGCCUCACCUUGCCUCCUAUGUGGGCCGGCCCUGGCUGGCUUACUUCAUGGCUCCUCCAGCUGCAUUUGUGGCGCCACGGGUUAGAUGCUGGAAAUGUGCCCAUCGCCCUCCUUGAGAAUGCCACCUGGCUUGGUAGAUCUGCAAGGACUGCAGUGGCAGCCGGUUGAGCUCACCGUGUGGUCCUGUUCCACGUCUGCUCAGCAGUGAUGCCCCACUGAGCACAAGCUCCUUGGAAAGUGGGUGCUGGGCCAUCCAGCCUGUUCCAAAUCGGUUCUUCAACUCUGCCCAGGCUCUUAUGUAAGGGGCCUUUUUUUAAAAUCAUUUUUUCAAUGCAAACAACCACCGCAAAAGACACAUACAACAAAAACCAUAACACUAAUAACACAAUUUUACAAUUCAGAUUUGAAUACUGCUAUACCUAUGACUACACCUUUCUAACAACAUUUCCCCACCUCUCCUCCCCCUACUUCCCACUACUGUCCGCCUUUUCGCUUAAAUAUUCCUUCCAGAUUUCUUCAUAUUUUUCCAUUCUUAAUUUGCAUGGACGUGCAAUUCGUUCGUAUGUAGCUAGUCUGUCCAUAUUAUCAAUCCAUGUGCUCAAUGGAUUCUUUUUGCGGCUCUUCCAAUUCAUCAAAACUAUUUUUUUUGCUUCUAAUAUGGCACGGUACAUCCAUUUUUUUUUGACCCCUUGUAAUCUCCCACGUUUCCGGAAUAUAAUUUAG
rnacentral:lncRNA from 1 species